CCCAUCGCCUGUGUCUUGCCUGUAUUUAGGGAGUAGUAGGACAAUUUUCUGUAUUUUUGGAUUAGGUCUAGUAGGUGGGGAAGGGAGUCUAUCGGUCGGGAUAUGUACAGGAGAAUAUCGUCCGCAAAAGCGCUAACCUUGAUUUCCCUGUCAUUGAGGGUUAUCCCAUGGAUGUAUGUAUUUUGUCUGAUUUGGCAUAGGCUCCAAGGCCAGUACGUAUAGUAAUGGCGACAGGGGCCAUCCCUGUCUCGUGCCAUUCGAUAGGGGGAACCGGUCUGAGAGGAAUCCGGCCUGCAACACCUGUGCUGUGGGGCCCGAAUACAGCGCAAAGAUUUGUUUCAUGAACGAUGCAGGGAAGCCAAAUUCUAUAAGGGUCUGUUCGAGGAAGGUCCAACCCAGGCGGUCAAACGCUUUUUCGGCAUCUAGGGCUAGCAGCAGAGCGCCCCGGCCCGAUCCUCUCAUUGUUUCCAUUGCCAGGCAGAGUUUUCUGGUGUUGUCCAGGCCCUGUCUGCACCUAGCAAAUCCUGUCUGGUCGUCGUCAAUGAUGGUUGGCAGGAGGGGAGUCAAUCUAUUGGCCAGUAGUUUAGCGUAGAUUUUUGCGUCGGUGUUAAGGAGGGAGUUGGGUCAGAAAUUUUUGCAGAUGUCUGUGGGUUUGUCCAGUUUGGGCAAUGUAACAAUUGUAGCCAGGAGCAUUUUUGGAGGGAGGUGCCC